GAUCCUGGCUCAGGAUGAGCGCUGGCGGCGUGCUUAACACAUGCAAGUCGAGCGAAGCAAUCUAAGUGAAGUUUUCGGAUGGAUCUUGGAUUGACUGAGCGGGCGGACGGGUGAGUAACGCGUGGAUAACCUGCCUCACACAGGGGGAUAACAGUUAGAAAUGACUGCUAAUACCGCAUAAGCGCACAGUACCGCAUGGUACAGUGUGAAAAACUCCGGUGGU
rnacentral:rRNA from 1 species